UACGGGGGGGGGCAAGCGUUGUUCGGAAUUACUGGGCGUAAAGGGCUCGUAGGCGGCCAACUAAGUCAUACGUGAAAUCCCCCGGCUUAACCGGGGAACUGCGUCUGAUACUGGAUGGCUUGAGUUCGGGAGAGGGAUGCGGAAUUCCAGGUGUAGCGGUGAAAUGCGUAGAUAUCUGGAGGAACACCGGUGGCGAAGGCGGCAUCCUGGACCGAUACUGACGCUGAGGAGCGAAAGCCAGGGGAGCAAAGCGGG
rnacentral:rRNA from 1 species